rnacentral:rRNA from 1 species
AAUAAGUAUUAAUAAAAAAAUUUUUAAAUUUAUUAAGUAUUUUAAUGGGGGUUAAAGUAUUUUAAUAGAAAAAAUUUAAAUUUUUAUAGUUAAUUAGUAUUGUGAGAGAAAUUUGAAAUAAUUAUAAAAUAUAAAUUUAUUAAAAAGUAAUUUUUAUUUAGUGUAUCUUGUGUAUCAGAGUUUAUUAAAAAUUUAUUUUGGUUAAAAUUUUCUCGAAUUUAAAAGAGCGAAUUAAAUAUAAAAGUUAUUGUAGUAAAAAUAUUUUUAAUAUUUAAUUUGAAAUGAAAUGUUAUUCGUUUUUAAAUAUAUCUAGUUUUUUUAGAAAAAAAUUUAAUUUUAAAUUGAUUUUUAAACAUUUAUAUUUUAUUAAUAAAUUUUUAAGAUUAAUUUUAUAUUUUAAGGGAUAAGCUUUAAAUUAAAUUAAUAUAAUAUUUAAUUUAAUAUUGAAAAUUGUAUAAUUUAUAUUGUUAAAAAAUUUUAUUUUAUUAUAAAUAAUUUCAAUUAAUAUAAAAUUUAAUUAAAAUUUAUUAUUUUAUAAGAAAAAUAUAUUUAAUAAUAUAAUUUAAGUUAUAAUGAUAAAAUUAGUAUAAAUUUUUAUUAAUAUUAUUAAAUUUAAUUUAAGGUAUUUUAAAGGAAUUCGGCAAAAUUUUAUAUUCACUUGUUUAUCAAAAACAUGUCUUUUUGAAAAUAAUUUAAAGUCUAAUCUGCCCACUGAUUAAUAAUUAAAGGGCUGCAGUAUUUUGACUGUACAAAGGUAGCAUAAUCAUUAGUCAUUUAAUUGAUGACUUGUAUGAAAGAUUGGAUGAAAUAUGAACUGUCUUUAAAUUAAAUAUAGAAUUUAAUUUUUAAGUUAAAAAGCUUAAAUAAUUUAAAAAGACGAGAAGACCCUAUAGAGUUUUAUUAUUUAUUUAAAUUAAUAUUUUUAUAAUUAGUUGUAUUUAUGUUAAUUUUUAAUAAAUAAUUUUAUUGGGGUGAUAAAAAAAUUUAAUUAACUUUUUUUAAUUUAAAAACAUAAAUAAGUGAAUAUUUGAUCCAUAUUUUAUGAUUAUAAGAAAAAAUUACCUUAGGGAUAACAGCGUAAUUUUAUUUUUUAGUUCAAAUAAGAAAUAGAGUUUGCGACCUCGAUGUUGGAUUAAGAUAAAAUUUAAAUGCAGAAGUUUAAAAGUUUUGAUCUGUUCGAUCAUUAAAAUCUUACAUGAUCUGAGUUCAAACCGGUGUAAGCCAGGUUGGUUUCUAUCUUUUAAAAAUAAAAAUAUUUUAGUACGAAAGGAUUAAAUAUUUGAAUUAUAUUUUUUAAUUUGAAUUUUAUUAAAUAUAUAUAUAUAUAUAUAUAUAUAUAAAAAUUAUUAUGGAUUU